UAAGCAUAUCAAUAAGCGGAGGAAAAGAAACCAACAGGGAUUGCCCUAGUAACGGCGAGUGAAGCGGCAACAGCUCAAAUUUGAAAUCUGGCGCAAGCCCGAGUUGUAAUUUGUAGAGGAUGUUUCUGGCGACGCGCCUUCCGAGUUCCCUGGAACGGGACGCCAUAGAGGGUGAGAGCCCCGUACGGUUGGAUGCCUAGCCUCUGUGAAACUCCUUCGACGAGUCGAGUAGUUUGGGAAUGCUGCUCUAAAUGGGAGGUAUACGUCUUCUAAAGCUAAAUACCGGCCAGAGACCGAUAGCGCACAAGUAGAGUGAUCGAAAGAUGAAAAGCACUUUGAAAAGAGGGUUAAAAAGUACGUGAAAUUGUUGAAAGGGAAGCGUUCAUGACCAGACUUGGGCAGGUUGAUCAUCCGUGGUUCUCCGCGGUGCACUCUGCCUGCCCAGGCCAGCAUCAGUUCGCUCCGGGGGAUAAAGGCUUUGGGAAUGUGGCUCCCUCGGGAGUGUUAUAGCCCACUGCGUAAUACCCUGGGGUGGACUGAGGUUCGCGCUCUGCAAGGAUGCUGGCGUAAUGGUCAUCAACGACCCGUCUUGAAACACGGACCAAGGAGUCGUCUUCGUAUGCGAGUGUUCGGGUGUCAAACCCCUACGCGUAAUGAAAGUGAACGUAGGAGAGAGCUUCGGCGCAUCUCCGACCGAUCCUGAUGUUCUCGGAUGGAUUUGAGUAAGAGCAUACGGGGCCGGACCCGAAAGAAGGUGAACUAUGCCUGUAUAGGGUGAAGCCAGAGGAAACUCUGGUGGAGGCUCGCAGCGGUUCUGACGUGCAAAUCGAUCGUCAAAUAUGGGCAUGGGGGCGAAAGACUAAUCGAACCUUCUAGUAGCUGGUUUCCGCCGAA
rnacentral:rRNA from 1 species